CACGUAGGGCGCGAGCGUUGUCCGGAAUUAUUGGGCGUAAAGAGCUCGUAGGCGGCCUGUUGCGUCCGCUGUGAAAGCCCGGGGCUUAACCCCGGGUCGGCAGUGGAUACGGGCAGGCUAGAGGUAGGUAGGGGAGAAUGGAAUUCCCGGUGUAGCGGUGAAAUGCGCAGAUAUCGGGAGGAACACCGGUGGCGAAGGCGGUUCUCUGGACAGUUCCUGACACUGAGGCACGAAGGCCAGGGGAGCAAACGGG
rnacentral:rRNA from 1 species